UGUGAUAGCGCAAUCAAUCUUCAAAAGGACACAGAAAGUCUGCCCGCGAAUUACAACCGUUUGAUUGGCGUCACUUAAUUUACACUUUUGUUCUGCUCGUUUCCACCUGUGAACACAUCUAUUUAUUUGUUAUGUAUCAGUCAUUUAGUAUGACUUCGUCUGUCACGCUGUACUGAUGUGUUCGCAGCUAUGGCUUGCGAUGUUUCUUCGUUCUGCGCUACCGUUCUCACUUUCCGUUUUGACGCACAGAAUAUCUUUACGUGUGCAUGAUGUGGUUAGGGCACGAUGUCAGCGACGUAAUCGAUAUUUUGUACGCGGUUUUUGAGGAUGCAUAGCUUGAUGAAUCACUUGAGAAAGACCGAAAAUGCGGUUGAAACGUUGUGAAAUUUAAAUAUAUUUAUUAUUUGGCCAGUCGGGUCGAACAAAAACGACUUUUGUUU